AUUUCUGAUCUCAUGCUUCUUGCAUUCAUCAACGUGAUUCAAGUCAUGUCCUUGGUCAUCAGACAAGACUGAUUUAUUCUAAACAGGUGACUUGGAUUAGAUGACCUUUAAAGGUACCUCCCAACUCUAUGGAUUCUGAUUCUAGUCCAUCCUUGCAUUAGGCUCUUUCUCAGAACUGUUGAGAAAAUCAAACAGCAACUCAUCAUCAGGUUCAGACUUUUUUCUCCUCACAAAAUGUGAAGAAGCUCUGGAUGUGGAAACAUUUUCUACUGAAGAAGCAACUUCUGAAUUUGUUCUACGUGCUGGUUUAACAUUUGCUGUUCCUGCUAAGAUUGUAGCCUUUUGGUUUUUAAUGUUAUCAGCUGCUGAGGAGAUGUAGGCUGCUUUGGAUGAAGUCUGAUAUUUCAGUUCUCUGGCAUGCUGGGACAAUUCAGAAUAUUCAUUGGCAGAGUCCAAAUUCUUGCUAUCAAAAACUGCGUUGCUUGCUGCGUCUUUUUUGUUCAGAGCUGAUGCAGCCCCUUGAUCAACUCUGUUGAGAAGAUCCUCUGCCUUUCCAGCCAAAUCAGCAAGCCAAGACAUGAUAAAUGUCUGAUGGUUAACUCUGCAUCAAAAUUUCAGGAAUAUAUGCUGCAAAAGAGAACAAUUGAAAAUCAGACAGGCAUUGAGAAGACAAGAAGUGUGGGUUACUGAAAAACUGCUGCAUUCAUUUAUUACUGCUGUAACUACAUUAACACUUCUGUCCUACCAGCUUUGUAUUUCAUUGUUGAUAACUGAUGGAAAUAAACCAAAUCAGUUUCUUAAGAAAAUAUACAUAAGCACAUGGCUUUGCCAUCAAACCAUAUCUGCUCCUAGCAUCAGCACCUGCUGAUCCAGCCUGUCAGUGCAGCACUAACAAAAAAUAAAGUCUGACAACAACCAAACCCAAGUGAAGAAGGAAAACGUGUCAACAAACAUAUUACAGAAACAGAUGCACGAGGCAAACAUCCCUCAGACGGCUGACCCGCAGAUUCCAUCAGCCAGGUCAGAGGGAGGAACACCCCCAGAACAAACCGCUGCCCUGACGUGCCCCGGUGAUAGCGACACCUCCCCGGCACUCAGAGCCUACGACAUGGCCCCUUCACCACGGACAGGC